UCCCCAGCUCCCCAUCUGUCCUCUCCUCUCCUUUCCCUAGCGCGAUCCCCUUUCUCCCUCCAUCCCCACGCCGGUGCCGCCUCCUCCCCGACGAACUCGCCAGCCACGAUGUCGUAGUCCUCUACCACACCACCUUCCCUGCUCCCCCAGACCCGCGCCGCCCCGUGCCUCCGCGAAACCCUAGCGGAGCUAGCGGCUGCUGGUCCGGCGUCGAAUACCACCCGCCAGGUGCUGGCCCUCGCUGGACGCCGCCGUCGGCCGGGGCAAUGAGAGGCCUUCAUCCUAAUCGGCGGAGGCGCCAGCGCGGCCGCGGCGCAGGAACCCAGUGACAGGAAGUUGGAGUCGGCGGAGCAGCUGGUGCUCGACCUCUGCGACCGCGACCUGCGCGAGAACGCCCUCCUCGAGCUAUCUAAGAAACGGGAGAUAUUUCAAGACCUGGCCCCUCUUCUAUGGCACUCCUUUGGCACAAUCGCUGCCCUGCUUCAGUCACCGUUUGUUUUCAAGUCGGCACUUGCUGUUCCGAAUGCAAUUUGUCAAAGGUUAAGUCUUGCCUUCCUCACUUGGUGUAUUUGGGAAUUUGGAAACACUCGCAAGAAAUUGUGUCAAUCUACCCUGCGCUUUCACCCCCAACUUUGUCGCCAGGUGCAUCAAACCGAGUCUGCAACGCACUUGCACUUCUUCAGAUCUGUACAUAGCAGUUCGAGAGUGAAGUGCAGUAAAUAGUUUCAUAUUUAUUUAAACUUCACUGCAAGAGAGCGGACGUCGGAGAUGCGGAGCGUAUCGGCAGACUCGCGUAAGUUACUUUGUGCCUUUCAAGUUUGAUACCAAUCCGGGGUCUCUUUGGGGCGAGAUCAAUGCUAUCAUGGCCCUGGACUUUGGGCAUGAAUGACGGGACCAAGGUGAAGGUGGACGUUCUGAUGGCGUUAUGAUGAGUUUUUUUUCUCAGGAUGUAUCUGUAAAACGUGGCUUUAGCUGGCCUCACCUUUGUAAUAUUGCUUAAUUAAUGUAGUAGCAACUAUAUGGCAAAUGACAGUUUAAAAAAACUAUAUGGCAAAGCUGGACGUUCUGGUGGCUACCUUUUUUUUUUAAUCC